rnacentral:rRNA from 2 species
UACGUAGGGGGCGAGCGUUGUCCGGAAUUACUGGGCGUAAAGGGUGCGUAGGCGGCCCUUUAAGUCGGAUGUGAAAGCCCGCGGCUUAACCGCGGAAUGGCAUUCGAAACUGGAGGGCUUGAGUGUCGGAGAGGGUAGUGGAAUUCCCAGUGUAGCGGUGAAAUGCGUAGAUAUUGGGAGGAACACCAGUGGCGAAGGCGACUACCUGGACGAUAACUGACGCUGAGGCACGAAAGCUAGGGGAGCAAACAGG